rnacentral:misc_RNA from 1 species
GAUGAAGAACGUAGCGAAAUGCGAUAAGUAAUGUGAAUUGCAGAAUUCAGUGAAUCAUCGAAUCUUUGAACGCACAUUGCGCCCGCCAGCAUUCUGGCGGGCAUGCCUGUUCGAGCGUCAUUUCAACCCUCGAGCCCCCCCGGGGGCCUCGGUGUUGGGGGACGGCACACCAGCCGCCCCCGAAAUGCAGUGGCGACCCCGCCGCAGCCUCCCCUGCGUAGUAGCACACACCUCGCACCGGAGCGCGGAGGCGGUCACGCCGUAAAACGCCCACCUUUCUUAGAGUUGACCUCGGAUCAGGUAGGAAUACCCGCUGAACUUAAGCAUAUCAAUAAGCGGAGGA